ACGGCCAUUACACAUUGUAAACACCGGUUCUCUUCCUAUCACUGAAGUUAAGCAAUGUCAGGCCUGGUCAGUACUUGGGAGGGUGACCACCUGGGAACACCAGGUGCUGUAGGCU
rnacentral:rRNA from 1 species